UCAGUACGAGCUUGCCCCUUUAACUGUUCUCUAGAUCAACAACGUUGACGUGAUUGCAUUGAAGUAUUUUAUCAAGAUCAGACCUCAACAUUCUGACCUGGCGGUAAGAUAGUUGAAUUUAUCUUAAGUCGUCUGGCAUUUCCAGAAACCGGAAGCGACUCAUUCAACAAUCUGAGUCACCGGAAGCAACACUUCCGCCAUUUUGCAGUAAUCCUUAUCUCAGAAAUACAAAGCCAUCAACAGUACGAGAGCGCCUCAAUGUGGAGUUGUUGGUGUGAUCAACAGUACGAGAGCAACUAUAAGUGUGAGUUUAUCACAGCCGAUCAGCUCAUGUGGGAGG